rnacentral:rRNA from 1 species
UACGGAGGGAGCUAGCGUUGUUCGGAAUUACUGGGCGUAAAGCGCACGUAGGCGGCUUUGUAAGUUAGAGGUGAAAGCCCGGGGCUCAACCCCGGAAUUGCCCUUAAGACUGCAUCGCUUGAAUCCGGGAGAGGUAAGUGGAAUUCCGAGUGUAGAGGUGAAAUUCGUAGAUAUUCGGAAGAACACCAGUGGCGAAGGCGGCUCACUGGACCGGCAUUGACGCUGAGGUGCGAAAGCGUGGGGAGCAAACAGG